GAAAUGCGAUAAUUAAUGUGAAUUGCAGAAUUCAGUGAAUCAUCGAGUCUUUGAAGGCACAUUGCGCCCCCUGGUAUUCCGGGGGGCAUGCCUGUCCGAGCGUCAUUGCUGCCCUCAAGCACGGCUUGUGUGUUGGGCUUCCGUCCCUGGCAACGGGGACGGGCCCAAAAGGCAGUGGCGGCACCAUGUCUGGUCCUCGAGCGUAUGGGGCUUUGUCACCCGCUCCCGUAGGUCCAGCUGGCAGCUAGCCUCGCAACCAGUCUUUUUAACCAGGUUGACCUCGGAUCAGGUAGGGAUACCCGCUGAACUUAAGC
rnacentral:misc_RNA from 1 species